UAGGGAAUUUUGCGCAAUGGGCGAAAGCCUGACGCAGCGACGCCGCGUGAGGGAUGAAGGUCUUCGUGAUCGUAAACCUCUGUCAGGAAGCAUUAAAUGUAUAGGUAUUAAUACCAUCUAUGCU
rnacentral:rRNA from 1 species